rnacentral:rRNA from 1 species
CCCGGACACAAGCGGUGGAUGAUGUGGUUUAAUUCGAUGCAACGCGAAAACCUUACCCACCUUUGACAUGGCAGGAAUCCUGAAGAGAUUUGGGAGUGCUCGAAAGAGAACCUGCACACAGGUGCUGCAUGGCUGUCGUCAGCUCGUGUCGUGAGAUGUUGGGUCAAGUCCCGCAACGAGCGCAACCCUUGUCAUUAGUUGCCAUCAUUUGGUUGGGCACUCUAAUGAGACUGCCGGUGACAAACCGGAGGAAGGUGGGGAUGACGUCAAGUCCUCAUGGCCCUUAUGGGUAGGGCUUCACACGUCAUACAAUGGUCAGUACAGAGGGUUGCCAACCCGCGAGGGGGAGCUAAUCCCACAAAGCCGAUCGUAGUCCGGAUCGCAGUCUGCAACUCGACUGCGUGAAGUCGGAAUCGCUAGUAAUCGUGGAUCAGCAUGUCACGGUGAAUACGUUCCCGGGUCUU